GACGAACGCUGGCGGCGUGCCUAAUACAUGCAAGUCGAACGCAGUGGGGACGGGUGAGUAACACGUGGGUAACCUCCCAUCAGAGGGGAUAACACUUGGAAACAGGUGCUAAACCGAUACUGAUGGAUGGACCCGCGGUGCAUUAGCUAGUUGGUGAGGUAACGGCUCACCAAGGCCACGAUGCAUAGCCGGCCUGAGGGGGGUGUCGGGCAACCCGGGGCGGAGACAAGGCCCAGGCUCCUACGGGAGGCAUGAAUAGGGAAAUGUCGGCAAUGGACGAAAGUCUGACCGAGCAACGCCGCGUGAGUGAAGAAGGUUUUCGGAUCGUAAAACUCUGUUGUUAGAGAAGCGGUAUCUAACCAGAAAGCCACGGCUAACUACGUGCCAGCCGCCGCGGUAAUAC
rnacentral:rRNA from 1 species